rnacentral:rRNA from 1 species
UAUUUGUUGCCCGUACCGGAAACCGACACAGGUGGACGAGGGUAGUACCCAAAGGCGCACAAGAGAACCCCUGUUAAGGAACUCGGCAAAAUGCACGUGUAACUUCGGGAUAAGCGUGGCCUCAAGUAGGUGAUGGGGAGAAACCGAAGCUGAAAGAGGUUGCAAAAAAGAGGCUCUGGCGACUGUUUACCAAAAACACAGAUCUCUGCUGAGACUUAAGUCUAAGUAUAGGGAUUGAGACCUGCCCGGUGCCAGAAGGUUAAAGAAGGGGGUCAACGGGGUAACCCGUGAAGCUCUUGACUGAAGCCCUGGUAAACGGCGGCUGUAACAAUAACAGUCCUAAGGUAGCGAAAUUCCUUGUCGGGUAAGUUCCGACCUGCAUGAAUGGUAUAACGACUGGAGCGCUGUCUCAACAGGGGACUUGGUAAAAUUGAAGUAUCGGUGCAAAUACCGAUUACCCGCAGCUAGACGGUAAGACCCUGUGAACCUUUACUGUACCCUGGCAUUGUAUUCUGGCACGUUCUGUGUAGGAUAGGUGGGAGGCUACGAAGCGUGGGCGCCAGCUUGCGUGGAGCCAACCUUGAAAUACCACCCUUAACGUGUCGGACUACUAACGGAUGCUGUGGAAGCAUCUAGACAGUGUCAGGCGGGCAGUUUGACUGGGGCGGUCACCUCCCAAAGUGUAACGGAGGUGUACGAAGGUUCCCUCGAGCUGUAUAGAAAUCAGCUGAAAGAGCGUAAAGGUAUAAGGGAGCUUGACUGCGAGAGAGACAUCUCGAGCAGGGACGAAAGUCGGUCUUAGUGAUCCGGUGGUUUUUGUAUGGAAAAGCCAUCGCUUAACGGACAAAAGGUACUCCGGGGAUAACAGGCUGAUACCGCCCAAGAGUUCACAUCGACGGCGGUGUUUGGCACCUCGAUGUCGGCUCAACUCAUCCUGGGGCUGAAGUAGGUCCCAAGGGUUCGGCUGUUCGCCGAUUAAAGAGUUACGUGAGCUGGGUUCAGAACGUCGUGAGACAGUUCGGUCCCUAUCUACUGUGGGCGCUGGAUAUUUGAGGGGAGCUGUUCCUAGUACGAGAGGAUCGGAAUGGACGUGCCUCUGGUGCACCAGUUGUCGUGCCAACGGCACAGCUGGGUAGCUAUGUACGGAAGGGAUAACCACUGAAAGCAUCUAAGUGGGAAGCCUCCCCCAAGAUUAGAUAUCCCUUAAGGUUCCAGGUAGACUACCUGGUUGAUAGGUCGCAGGUGUAAGUACAGUAAUGUAUUCAGCCGAGCGAUACUAAUAAACCGUUUGACUUGCCCAU